ensembl:lncRNA novel transcript, antisense to PCBP3
ACACAGGAGGCUGGCGGGAGGAAAGCUGCCUGUGGUAUCACGUGCUGUGUCGCUGUGGAGCAGGGCCCUGCCCCGGAGCAGGCAUCUGCCGUGGGGAAGGUGCUGUGUGCGGUGGCGUGUGGGUGGCCCCGGCUGGGAGACCCAGGAACAGCGAUAUCUUCCACUGAUAGAAGCGAAGGAAUAUCCAUCCAGUAGCACCGGCCGCGCAGGGCAUGCUUUGUUCCUGGAGAUAGCGGUACGCAUUCUCCCCUAAAGGCGACUGGGGGUGGGCUACGAUUUUGUAAUUUUUUAAACAUGAGCAGGCAUGCUCAUUACAGCGGCAUCUCCCUGUCUUCUGACCACAUACGAUGACUAAUUGCUCCCAUUAAGCCAAGUUCUGGGAUACACGUCAGGUGGAGCAGAAGAAUGGAGAUAAUGUUAAAAACUGCAUCAAAAUAAGUGGGACUUUCCCCAAGCGUAAAAGAAGCAUUUAUAAUCAUAAAUAUGAAAAACAUUAAAUUCUUCUACCCCAUCUUAAUGAAAUGAGAGAAAAAUUCCCUUUCCUCAAGAUUGGCAGUGGGUAAGAAACAGUCCUUUAGAAAUAUUACAUGAAAUUCAUUUGAAGGCUGUAGUUGGUGGGAACUGGGUAUUAGCCUAAAUGCAGAAUGUUUUCAAAAGGCAUUACUUUCACGCAGAGAAAAGCUUCUUUUUGUUAUCAAGGGUACAACUGCUAUUCGAUACAACUAAAAUGUAGAAGAAUUUAAAAAUCUAAAGUGUUCAUAUUUAUUUCUAUGAACUUGGUCACAGACCCACUUGCCUGGAAAGCGAGUUAAAACACAAAUUUAAAAUAUUUAUCUCUGAAAGGAAAAACUGAUAGGACACAUUCAAAUCAAACUCCGUUAUGACUUUGGCUCUGGCAAGCUAUUUCUGGGAACAUUUUUCCCAGCAAAUGCAAGCAGGAGCAGGAAAUGUGACUAAACAUGGCAGCGAUGGUCGACACACCACACAGACACUGCAAACCCUCUCUAUUGUACUCACAACUGCCAAAAUACGUUCACCAGAAGGAUCCUGAGCUAAGGGAACACUUUAGUUCAUUUACAAUAGGUGAAAAUAUAAAAUUUUGUUGUAACUUAUGAACUGAAAAACUCAGCAUCAUUUUCUCAACAUUUUGAAGUAUUAUGCAUUCCCUGAUGGCUUCAUCACACAGAAAUCCUGCUCACUGGCCUUCCUGAGGUUAAGAGAAUCAUGUUCUUCCCCAUUUUAAGCACCAAGCUGCAAAAGUGCAUGCUCUCCAUCCAUCGGCAGCACCCAUGACCCCGCCUCACUCGGAUGUUGGACUUCAGUACCCCACGCUAGUGGCGGGGAUGUAAUCACCUGUUCAGUUCAGAGGCCAGCGUUCACCCACAGAAGCAGUGAUGGAAGGCACUCAUCAGACAGAAAAGUCUGGCCCCACAAGGGUGACCAGUGUUUGCACAGGUGAGAGUCACACUCCCAUACCACAUCCAGUAUCUCUGAUUGAUAAACAUCCGUAAAGCCACGUUUAUGUUUCCAUAAAUAAUAACACUCGACUAGUAAAGAAGAUUAUUGACACUUGCUAUGGGUCCUCAGAAGGAACCCUGUUAGUGGAACAGCCGGCCUGACGGGAGCCUCAUCAUCUGAGCGGGCUUAAACCUAACACAAUUUCCGCUUUUUCAUCGUAACGCAUCGUGCACGGCUAUGCGGUUCCUCUAGGCAUUUCCCCGACAGUCAACCAAGCACAAACUCUGCCUGCCACAUUGCCUGGGACUCCCGUCGAAGCCAAUCUCAGCCAACCGUCCUGCCCGCGGACCGCUCACCCAGGGCCCUCAAUCCCUUACCUUGGAACAAAGCAGCUCUGUGAGGCUGGGAACGAUCAGGUUUGAUGUGGGUAUCGGACAGAUGGCCACUCUCCCCGUUUAGACAAGAUGAGAUGCUACCGGAGAAAAAGGAGAGUGGUGCUUCGCUCUCCACCGAGGGAGGCUGCCCACCCCAUUGGCCUCGGGCGGGAGCCGCGUGACAUGGGCCAGGCACAUGUGACCCACUUUUUGCCCAGCUCCCCUCAUGCCCUUGGAGGGUGGACCCAGCACUCAUGCGCUGUCAUUUCAAUACCCCCUUCCCCCAACAGGGGCGACUCAACAGCCCGGCGAGCCUGUAGGACACACGGCCGCAGCAGCUAAGCCCCUGGAAUAGGAAGGGGUGGGUGGGGGCAGAAACCCCAGGACCCAGCAUUAAUCCCAACACAGCUCCUAAGACACGAGCUUUUGCUGCUGCUGCCGCCAGUCUGCCAUGGGUGGCGUAGGCAUAAAGCAGGUCCCUACCCGGACAGCGGGGCUGACCUGGGCUUGGCUGGUGACGCUCUUGCAGGUCCUCAUGGACUGCAGGAUGAGGCUAUUCCUCACCAGGAGGAGGUACCUGAAACAGCAUGAACUGGAAAUUCCCUCCUUUCCCUGUUUUCUUCUUUGUUGUGACUGAGAUGUUCCAGGUCUGCCCCACAAGAAAGACCCAUGCAAAGCUGAGUGGACGAGCUGCAGCCUCAAAUGUGGUCCUGAUGCCAGCUGUGCCCCAGGUAGGUGGGGUGGAAAGGCCUAGCCCAGGACCCCACAGCCCAGACACUCGGGGCCAAGAGAGGAGGUACAGGAUGCACACUGCUCCACCCAUCAAACUAGGCACUUCUGCCACAGAGUAGGAGAAAGUCACCCUCUGUUCUGUUACAGGCUUCUUACCUUGAUCCCACCAUGUUACACAAGACUCAGGGGCGGUAAUGGGAAAAGCACACACAACAGGCAGAAGUGAAAUGUGAAUGCAAAGAGAAGCCACUGGGCUGUGAAGAGGGCCCGGUUUCGUCGGGGACAGGCUGAGCUGGCUCCUGCUGGGGCCCACACAAUGUGCUUGCAGCUUUCUGAUGCCAGACAAGGCACAGAGACAGUGUGUGGUGUCCUGCAUGUCUUACUGACCAAGCAAAGUCAGUCGAUUGCUUAUUAAAGAAAGAAGCUAAAAUAACGAGUAUCGGAGGUUCAUACAGAAAAAAAUAGAAUAUGUGUACAUGCAAAAGAAAAACCUGUCACUGAUCAUUACCCAGAAGGACCACGGUUGAUAUGUGUUAUCUUGAGAUCUGCCUAUUCAGACUUUGGUCUAGUAGGCCUGUGUUUUUAUAUCUUUUUAGCAAAAAUAGUAACCAACCAUGUUUGUUUUUCUUGCUAUUAUACAUGAAAUAUUUUUCUAUGUUACUAUAUUGAAGUCUGCAUAAAAGGGAGCAGAUUCCCCACGGUAUUGCAUUUUGUGCAUUUUUAUGCAUUUAUUCUGAUGCAUAAAAAUCUGCAGUGACUGACAAUUCCAGGUAUUUUGAAUUGUUACAGUAACUAAUAAUGUAAUGUUUGUUGCUAUGAUUUAAAUGUACGUGUCCCCCCACCCGCCCCAAUUCCUAUGUUGAAACUUAAGACCCAGUGUGAUGGUAUCAGGAGGUGAUUAGGCCAUGAGACUCCGCUCUCAGAAAUGGACCAGUGCCUCAUAAAAAGGCUCAAGAAAACUAGCAGGGUCCUUUUUACCCUUACAUCCCAUCCACCAUGGGGACACAGCGUUCGUGGCCUCCAGGGGAAGCAGCGUUCAAGGUGCUGUCUCAGACAGGCCGACCCUUCCCAGGCGCAAAACCUGCUAGAGUCUUGAUCCUGGAUUGCCAGCCUCCGUAAUGGUGAGUGAUACAUUGAUUCUGUUUAUAAAUUGCCCAGUGUUGGGUAUCUUGUUCUAGCAGCAGAAACGGACUAAAACCAU